rnacentral:lncRNA from 1 species
AACAAAUGGAGAGACUGAGUUUGGUGAAACCAGCACUCAGACAAUGCCCUGAGAUAACCCCAGGGACAACGACGGGGGAGAAUGGAAAAGAACGCUCCAAAACCCCAAUCAUGCACAAUACCUCGGUAAUCUGGAUGCCAAGCCUGAUAAAGGGAGUGUAUGCUAAACCAGUUCCCUCGAGGCUGCAUGAAGCCGGGAACCUACAUCAAAUGCAAAUCAAAUAUCAGAAUCAUUGCUCCUCAUCAAUAGGAAAAAAGAAGAUUAAACCCAGCUUUUACUUCGUUUGCAUGCAAGUAAACCGAGGGGUGGCGACUUAAAUCACCCAGAAGAUCUUGAAUAGCCACCUGAAUGCCUGGAAAAUCCCUACGAGAAAC